GUUGCUGUCGUUGCUUCUGUUGGCUGCUUUUCACAGAUUCCGAGGGUUUCUCCGUGCUAGCGGGGACUCGCUCCGCGGCGGGCACUGUUUCCGGGCCUGGCAGCCCUUCUCCUCAGCGCCUUCCCGCUGGCGUUAGUUGUCUGCACUGACCGCGCCGGGCAGCGUUCCGGGUGUGCGGAGCCGUCCGUCCCCGCGGAGAUUCGGUUCUGGCGGGAUUUCCCCAGGCGGGCAUUUCAGAAGCAUCACCAGUGACUGGCAUUACACGUCCGCCAAGGCAUCCACCUGUGAGUUCACCGUCAACCAGUCACCGAGUGAUGUGUUGGCACUGUUUGGAGGCGCUGUGCUGGGUAUUGGGGAUUCAGGGGUUGGCAAAAUAGACCUGUCCCUGCCCUAACGGUCCUUGACAGCAGCGGUCAGAUGUUAAAGAAGUAAACAGGCAGAUGUGUGAAUUACAAGAAAUGCAAGUGCAUGGAAGGGAAGAAACAGAGUGCUUUGAGAGACAGAAGCAGAGUAAAUGGAAUUUAGAAAGGGUGUAAUUUAGCAGUGUUCCACGAAGAAAGAGCAAGUAUAAAGGCUUUUGAAGUGAGAAAGACUUGUCCCUUGUGAAGGGACUUAAAGCAGGCUAGUUUGGCUGCUGUAAUUCUGACCAGAUCCCUCUACUUCCUGAAUAUCAA